AAGCAGACCUGUUCUAUCGCUGUCUUUGUAGUAAUACAGGAGAGAGGAAAGUCCGGGCAACAUAGAGCGACACGCUUCCUAACGGGAAGGAUUCUAGCAAUAGAAGACAGAAAGUGCCACAGAAAAUAUACCGCCUUGCAAAAGGUAAGGGUGAAAAUGUGAGGUAAGAGCUCACGGUCUUAUAUGGUGACAUAUAUUUCGGUAAACCUCGUGUGUUGAAAGACCAAAUAGGUUGCGAAAUCUGAAGGCUGCUCGUCUUUUGUUAUCGUUGAUAACAUUCGCAAUGGGUAGGUUGAUUGAGCUUGUGUGUGAAUGCAAGCCUAGAGAAAUGAUAGAAGCCCUUUGGGGUACAGAACCCGGCUUAUAGGGUUUGCUUCUUU
rnacentral:RNase_P_RNA from 1 species